CUCAGGAUUCCUGGAUAACCUGAAAAAUUUGCUUCUAGACCAGGAUAGCACUGUUCGACAAAAAACAACUGAAGUCCUUUAUGUAAUGGCUACUCAUACUGUUGGCAGGAAUGGUUUUAUAGAAAAUGGAGUCAUUCCUGCCCUGUCCCAGCUCUUGAAUGAUCCAGAGGAUAUCUGCCGAAGAAACAUGCACCGAGCAUUUAAAAUGAUGUCAGAAUUGCCGACAGACUAGUCACAGUGCUCCAGUGAAUGAGAUAGAUGUAACCAGUGCCUGAGGGCUGAGCUGCCCCAUUGCCACUGCCUGUGAUGCUGCUGUUCAAAGACCUGCCCAAUUAAAAGACUGUUUAAAAAAUUAAGGAAUCUUUUCUCCCAAAUUUCUCUUGUCCUUCCGUACAUUUCCUUUAUUAUCAUUUCCAGAUGUCCGUUCUGCUGCAUUUAAGAGCAUUACUUACUUCUGAUUCCUUCAGUUGUUUUGUCAAACUUGAAUGGCCAUAGGUAGUAUUCUGAAGACUAGUGCUGAAAUGAAAUGGUCACAAGUCAGUAAACCACAUAACCCCAAAGGAAGUGUAAACCGUUUUACAACUUUAUUUUCCCAGUUACUGAUGGUAGCAGAUUACAUCAUGGAGGGAAAUCUAGACUGCAGAAUGGUACCAGUGUGGGACAAAUAAAUGCCUUCAUAGGCGCUUUCACAGGUGGACUAAGUCUAGGAUAGUCAUACCCAGACUCGUUAUGUGUCUCCUACAACUCUUUGCAGCACAUGUGAUUUAAUUAUUACCCAGUCUAAGUAAUUAACAAAUCAAGAUGUUUUUUCUAUGUUAUUAACCAAUUGAAGUUGAUAAAAUAAUACUUGGUUAGGCAUUUUGAUGAUAGAAUAUAUAUAAUAAAUAGAAAAAUAAAAAAUGUCUCCAUUGUACUAUUAAAAUAUGAAUAUAUAGUACUGUAGUAAUCAAAACAAUGAAUUCAUACUACUGUGGCUCUUUUAGACAGCAUUGAUUACUAAUUCGGUUCCUGAACCAUUGAGAUCUGUGUGGGUAUGUCUACACUACAGCACUAAUUCGAACUAACUUAAUUCGAAUUAGUUAAUU